CAGCCUGAAAUGAUGACUCUUUAAAAAAUUUCAUGUCUCUUCUCUGACAUUUUUCUCUGGAGACAGUUUUUGCCUUAUGAAUCUGAUCAGGCUG
ensembl:snoRNA SNORD111 small nucleolar RNA, C/D box 111